rnacentral:rRNA from 1 species
GACGAACGCUGGCGGCGUGCCUAAUACAUGCAAGUCGAACGCUGAAGGAGGAGCUUGCUUCUCUGGAUGAGUUGCGAACGGGUGAGUAACGCGUAGGUAACCUGCCUGGUAGCGGGGGAUAACUAUUGGAAACGAUAGCUAAUACCGCAUAAGAGUAGAUGUUGCAUGACAUUUACUUAAAAGGUGCAAUUGCAUCACUACCAGAUGGACCUGCGUUGUAUUAGCUAGUUGGUGAGGUAACGGCUCACCAAGGCAACGAUACAUAGCCGACCUGAGAGGGUGAUCGGCCACACUGGGACUGAGACACGGCCCAGACUCCUACGGGAGGCAGCAGUAGGGAAUCUUCGGCAAUGGACGGAAGUCUGACCGAGCAACGCCGCGUGAGUGAAGAAGGUUUUCGGAUCGUAAAGCUCUGUUGUAAGAGAAGAACGAGUGUGAGAGUGGAAAGUUCACACUGUGACGGUAUCUUACCAGAAAGGGACGGCUAACUACGUG